rnacentral:rRNA from 1 species
UACGUAGGGUGCAAGCGUUGUCCGGAAUUAUUGGGCGUAAAGAGCUCGUAGGCGGUUUGUCGCGUCUGCCGCGAAAGUCCGGGGCUCAACUCCGGAUCUGCGGUGGGUACGGGCAGACUAGAGUGAUGUAGGGGAGACUGGAAUUCCUGGUGUAGCGGUGAAAUGCGCAGAUAUCAGGAGGAACACCGAUGGCGAAGGCAGGUCUCUGGGCAUUAACUGACGCUGAGGAGCGAAAGCAUGGGGAGCAAACGGG